rnacentral:lncRNA from 1 species
AGACUAGUGGAGAGCUGGGCUUCGAGGCGUCAGUGUGAAGGGAAGGCUAAGGACGCAUCGGUGCUGGAGAGUUGAGAAUAUGCCUUCCCCUCCACCCCCAACCCAGUCACCUUAUUUGAAAAAAAAUUAAAAAACACCUUUUAUUUAAAAACCUAACCCUGGAAGUUUGCUCGCUGACAUCAGGGGAGCAACGUGAACACAGGAAAAUGGAAAUCAACAUUUGAAACUUUUAAAUGGAAGCUUUAUUGGGGUUCCACAUAUGGAAAACUGCAAAUAGCAGAAGUAUGUGACUCAAUAAAUUAUUCUGGAGUGACCACAUCCUCUAACUGCCUCCCAGGACAAGACGGAGAAUGUGAACAAUGCUCCUGAAGGCCCCUUUCCCUCAAAGAAUCACUGCAAUUGAAGGAAAAAUGCUCCAUGUCCCCUCUGCCAGUUGGUGUUUAUCAAAGGACAACGGAGGAAGAGAGACAAAGUGCCUGGAUGUGUGUGUUAAUCAAGAGUUGUCAGGACCCUGCCUCUAAAAGAAAGCGCUAAAAUGAUGCUUUUGACAAGACUUUUCUCAAAGUGGAUGCAGUCUAAGGGUUGGAAAACAAGGCCCAAUCAGGCUAGGUCUGACUUGUCGCCUGCUUUUGUAAAUAAAGUUUUAUUGGCUCACAGACACACUUA